GCCCCCGUAGCUCAGUGGAACAGAGCACUGGACUUCUAAUCCAAUGGUCGCAGGUUCGAGUCCUGCCGGGGGUG
rnacentral:tRNA from 1 species